CCCUUGGAGUGUUACACCAAAUGAAAGUAGUCCUUGGACAAAAUCAGACACGAUGAAUAGGGAA
rnacentral:sRNA from 12 species